GGGCCAUUAGCUCAAUUGGCAGAGCAACUGACUCUUAAUCAGUAGGUCCAAGGUUCGACCCCUUGAUGGCCCACCA
rnacentral:tRNA from 2 species